AAACCUAGUCUUACAGUAAAUGCAACAUCUACACACUUGCAGCACUUUUACUCAGAGACCAUCUAGCUGUGAUCACAAGACAAGAAUGGUUUCGCCUUGACAUCACUGAGCCCUGAGUACACAAAUAAUCAUGGGCUACAUGAGCUCUCUUGCAUGGCUGCUGGCUACCCAAUAGGUUCUGCCCUCAAGUAGGGUUGCCUGUCAAGGUUACAUGUGAGCAGAGAUACCUUACACCUUGACAUCAAGAUGCCUUGCCUAUCGGAUCCUUGGAGUUUAGAAAACAAAGAGGUCUGCUCUGAACCCCAGGACUCAUUGAGAGGGCCUUCUGGAUGAAUGUGUUUAGCCCUACCCUCUACACUUAUCCAAGCAAAAGCUGCUCUUUCCUGUGCACCUUAGACAGACUUUCUCCAGAUCACUUGAGGUACUACUGUUCUGCAAGACUAAGUGUCUGUGUCUCUGCACUGAUCAUCCCCCCAGAAUGAGAAGGAUGCCAACGAGACCUGAGGAGCCUUCAUCACUGUUGUGCAAGUCAUCAAGAGCCAAAGGAUAAAGAGAUGGAUCUUCUAUCCUACUGAAAUGCAUAUGGAAGUGAUAGGCAGGGAAAACUUUUCUCUGGUGUUCCCACCUUACAAGCCCCAGAUCCCUCUGCAAUGCUCCUGUUACCUCAUCUGAUUCACGAGCAUAGAGCAACUAUGGCUAUGUUCUCAGGAUGUAUUUCCACUGUUGUACCUGCACUUUGGCCUCAAAUUCCCUCUCACCUUCAUCUGGUGUUAUUUCUUUGCAUCCAAAAUAGAGACAGGAAUUUCCUCUUCUGUAUUCCUUAAUUUGUGAAUCCUCAGAUAACCAUAAAGACAAAUACAAAUUCCAGCAUCUUUUACACAGAAGAAAAAAAUCUGAUGCUGAGUAAUGUCACAGUCUCUAAGGAAGGUGAGUCUGUUCUUUACAAAAUGGAGGAGGAAUUUAUACAUACACACCAUCUCCCUUCCAAGCAUUCGGACAACAGAUAUUGAUGUAAAAGGGUUGAGACCUUGACCUCCUGGCUUUGAACAGAGCCAGGUGCCUGUUACGCCAAAGCUGUUUGCACUUCUGACUGUUAGUAUCCCCAUACAAUUGUCUUGCUAAGCUGCUUCCACGCACAUCUGUGUCUGACAGGUUUAAUUCUCCAGAGUACUGGAAAAAAUAUUAUAAGAUGCAGAGAUACUAUUAAUAGGUGUCCAGUUGGUGACACUGAUCUUUUCUUUCUUGAUCAAGUAUUUUCCUGGGAAAAUGGAAUUUUCCUGCUGUUACAUUCUGCACACAGAAGGAGAAAAGGGAAGGAGGCAAAAACUUGCAAAAGCAUGCAGGAAAACAAACUUCUGAAUCUGUUCUGUGGGUAUCCUUUCAGGUCCACCUGCUGUGAGCUACAUUCACAAGAAAUCUUCUGCAAUAAGGCCAUAACAAAUUAGCACACAAAAAUCAGAUCAAAUAGAGAUAAAUGGACCACAAUUUUAUACUUCUUUGGGGCUAUCUCUGCUGUUUCCCUUCCAUUUUGAAAAUCGUAGAAGCACAGAAUCACCAAGGUUGGAGAGUACCUCCAAGACUAUCUAGUCCAACUGUCCACCUAACACCAAUAUUUUGCCACUAAUUCAUGUCCCUUAGUACAACAUCUAAACAACUCUUGAACAACUCCAGGGACAGUAACUGAAUCACCUUCCUGGGCAGCCCAUUCCAGUUCCUGUCCACUCUUUCAGAGAAUAAAUUUUUCCUAAUAUCCAACCUGAACCAUCCUUGGCACAACUUAAUGCCAUUCACUCUAUCCUAGCACUAGUUACGUGGGAGACGAGGCUGACCUCUACCAUACCACAGCCUCCCUUCAAGUCGUUGUAGAGAGCAAUAAGGUCUCCCCUGAGCCUCCUCUCCUCUAGACUGAACAGUCCCAUUUCCCUCAGUCACACCCCAUAAGACUUGUG